rnacentral:antisense_RNA from 6 species
ACUUAGUCAGUCUCUUGUAGGAGGUACGACAUUGCUCACAUUGCUUCCAGUGUUUACUUUAGCCAGCUUAAUGCUGGCUAUUUUUU